CUCACACACACCCCAUCUUGUGGCACCUGCGGAGUAAUAAGAUGGCACGAAAGCCACAGCCUCCUCCCCAGCCCGCAAAAGGAGUGGACUAUGCAGAAAUUCCAGCCAGGCUGCUAAGAUACAUAUUUGUAUAAGAUUAGCUGCAUCUCCACUGCCAAGUGGGCGCCAAGGGACGUGUUGAUGCCUGCAGGAGCCUGGAAGAAAUGAACCGAUUCCCUGCUUGGAAUCAUCCCAAGAUCUUCCCGGCAUCAAAGCCAGCAGCAUUCCUCACCCCACUCAGCAAUGCUCCAGGAAUGCUGUGCAUUGCUCACAGGAGCUGGUUUUUAAUGAGUCGUCGCAUGGUUGAAUUGGUGGGUGAGGCCCAUCAGUGGGCAUUAGGUCUUGUUUCCUUGCCUUCUCCACAACAGCAGAAAUCGCCAGCUCGGGAAGAGGGAACCCAUAAAUAGCUGGAGGGUGAAUAGGAUCUGGAGCUUCUGGACGGCCAGGCUGCAUGCAGGACAGAGCCUGUCUUUGAAGGUGGCCUUUGUGUGGCUGAUGUCAAGGUGGCUGAUCGUGGGUCAGUAAAAGGCAGCUCUGGAUGGUCCUGGCAGGAAGCAGCCCCAGGCCCAACUGCAGGAGGCCUAUUGUCUCCACCUCCUCUGGUUGUUAACACUACAGGAAAGGAAGGGUGUUAUCUCUUUCUGCCCUUCCCCCUUUCAUAGCUGGGAAUGUUUCCCAUCCCUCCUCCACCCCAGGCUCAGCCACAAAAAAGGCCAUGACUCAUUCUCAUAGGUUCAGGAUGCUCAGCUGUCAUUGUGCCU
rnacentral:lncRNA from 1 species